CCAGAGCCUGAAUCAGUGUGUGUGUUAGUGGAAGCGUCUGGAAAGGCGCGCGAUACAGGGUGACAGCCCCGUACACAAAAAUGCACAUGCUGUGAGCUCGAUGAGUAGGGCGGGACACGUGGUAUCCUGUCUGAAUAUGGGGGGACCAUCCUCCAAGGCUAAAUACUCCUGACUGACCGAUAGUGAACCAGUACCGUGAGGGAAAGGCGAAAAGAACCCCGGCGAGGGGAGUGAAAAAGAACCUGAAACCGUGUACGUACAAGCAGUGGGAGCCCUGAUUUAUCAGGGUGACUGCGUACCUUUUGUAUAAUGGGUCAGCGACUUAUAUUCUGUAGCAAGGUUAACCGAAUAGGGGAGCCGGAGGGAAACCGAGUCUUAACUGGGCGUUAAGUUGCAGGGUAUAGACCCGAAACCCGGUGAUCUAGCCAUGGGCAGGUUGAAGGUUGGGUAACACUAACUGGAGGACCGAACCGACUAAUGUUGAAAAAUUAGCGGAUGACUUGUGGCUGGGGGUGAAAGGCCAAUCAAACCGGGAGAUAGCUGGUUCUCCCCGAAAGCUAUUUAGGUAGCGCCUCGUGAAUUCAUCUCCGGGGGUAGAGCACUGUUUCGGCAAGGGGGUCAUCCCGACUUACCAACCCGAUGCAAACUGCGAAUACCGGAGAAUGUUAUCACGGGAGACACACGGCGGGUGCUAACGUCCGUCGUGAAGAGGGAAACAACCCAGACCGCCAGCUAAGGUCCCAAAGUCAUGGUUAAGUGGGAAACGAUGUGGGAAGGCCCAGACAGCCAGGAUGUUGGCUUAGAAGCAGCCAUCAUUUAAAGAAAGCGUAAUAGCUCACUGGUCGAGUCGGCCUGCGCGGAAGAUGUAACGGGGCUAAACCAUGCACCGAAGCUGCGGCAGCGACGCUGAUGCGUUGUUGGGUAGGGGAGCGUUCUGUAAGCCUGUGAAGGUGUGCUGUGAGGCAUGCUGGAGGUAUCAGAAGUGCGAAUGCUGACAUAAGUAACGAUAAAGCGGGUGAAAAGCCCGCUCGCCGGAAGACCAAGGGUUCCUGUCCAACGUUAAUCGGGGCAGGGUGAGUCGACCCCUAAGGCGAGGCCGAAAGGCGUAGUCGAUGGGAAACAGGUUAAUAUUCCUGUACUUGGUGUUACUGCGAAGGGGGGACGGAGAAGGCUAUGUUGGCCGGGCGACGGUUGUCCCGGUUUAAGCGUGUAGGCUGGUUUUCCAGGCAAAUCCGGAGAAUCAAGGCUGAGGCGUGAUGACGAGGCACUACGGUGCUGAAGCAACAAAUGCCCUGCUUCCAGGAAAAGCCUCUAAGCAUCAGGUAACAUCAAAUCGUACCCCAAACCGACACAGGUGGUCAGGUAGAGAAUACCAAGGCGCUUGAGAGAACUCGGGUGAAGGAACUAGGCAAAAUGGUGCCGUAACUUCGGGAGAAGGCACGCUGAUGGUAGGUGAAGCGACUUGCUCGUGGAGCUGAAAUCAGUCGAAGAUACCAGCUGGCUGCAACUGUUUAUUAAAAACACAGCACUGUGCAAACACGAAAGUGGACGUAUACGGUGUGACGCCUGCCCGGUGCCGGAAGGUUAAUUGAUGGGGUCAGCGCAAGCGAAGCUCUUGAUCGAAGCCCCGGUAAACGGCGGCCGUAACUAUAACGGUCCUAAGGUAGCGAAAUUCCUUGUCGGGUAAGUUCCGACCUGCACGAAUGGCGUAAUGAUGGCCAGGCUGUCUCCACCCGAGACUCAGUGAAAUUGAACUCGCUGUGAAGAUGCAGUGUACCCGCGGCAAGACGGAAAGACCCCGUGAACCUUUACUAUAGCUUGACACUGAACACUGGUCCUUGAUGUGUAGGAUAGGUGGGAGGCUUUGAAGUGUGGACGCCAGUCUGCAUGGAGCCGUCCUUGAAAUACCACCCUUUAAUGGCUGGUGUUCUAACGUUGGCCCCUUAUCGGGGUUGCGGACAGUGUCUGGUGGGUAGUUUGACUGGGGCGGUCUCCUCCUAAAGAGUAACGGAGGAGCACGAAGGUUGGCUAAUCCUGGUCGGACAUCAGGAGGUUAGUGCAAUGGCAUAAGCCAGCUUGACUGCGAGCGUGACGGCGCGAGCAGGUGCGAAAGCAGGUCAUAGUGAUCCGGUGGUUCUGAAUGGAAGGGCCAUCGCUCAACGGAUAAAAGGUACUCCGGGGAUAACAGGCUGAUACCGCCCAAGAGUUCAUAUCGACGGCGGUGUUUGGCACCUCGAUGUCGGCUCAUCACAUCCUGGGGCUGAAGUAGGUCCCAAGGGUAUGGCUGUUCGCCAUUUAAAGUGGUACGCGAGCUGGGUUUAGAACGUCGUGAGACAGUUCGGUCCCUAUCUGCCGUGGGCGCUGGAGAACUGAGGGGGGCUGCUCCUAGUACGAGAGGACCGGAGUGGACGCAUCACUGGUGUUCGGGUUGUCAUGCCAAUGGCACUGCCCGGUAGCUAAAUGCGGAAGAGAUAAGUGCUGAAAGCAUCUAAGCACGAAACUUGCCCCGAGAUGAGUUCUCCCUGAGACUUUAAGUCUCCUGAAGGAACGUUGAAGACGACGACGUUGAUAGGCCGGGUGUGUAAGCGCAGCGAUGCGUUGAGCUAACCGGUACUAAUGAACCGUGAGGCUUAACCUUACAACGCCGAAGGUGUUU
rnacentral:rRNA from 1 species